UUACAGCCAUAUCAUGCUGAAACACUGGUUCUCAUACAAUCACCAAAGUUAAGCAAGGUUGAACCUGGUCAGUACCUAGAUGGGUGAUUGCUUGGGAAUACUAGGAUGUG